rnacentral:rRNA from 1 species
AGUGAACGCUGGCGGUAGGCCUAACACAUGCAAGUCGAACGGCAGCACAGUAAGAGCUUGCUCUUACGGGUGGCGAGUGGCGGACGGGUGAGGAAUACAUCGGAAUCUACUUUUUCGUGGGGGAUAACGUAGGGAAACUUACGCUAAUACCGCAUACGACCUACGGGUGAAAGCAGGAGAUCUUCGGACCUUGCGCGAUUGAAUGAGCCGAUGUCGGAUUAGCUAGUUGGCGAGGUAAAGGCCCACCAAGGCGACGAUCCGUAGCUGGUCUGAGAGGAUGAUCAGCCACACUGGAACUGAGACACGGUCCAGACUCCUACGGGAGGCAGCAGUGGGGAAUAUUGGACAAUGGGCGCAAGCCUGACCCAGCCAUACCGCGUGGGUGAAGAAGGCCUUCGGGUUGUAAAGCCCUUUUGUUGGGGAAGAAAAGCAGCAGGUUAAUACCCCGCUGUUCUGACGGUACCCAAAGAAUAAGCACCGGCUAACUUCGUG